rnacentral:rRNA from 1 species
AACGGAUCUCUUGGUUCUGGCAUCGAUGAAGAACGCAGCGAAAUGCGAUAAGUAAUGUGAAUUGCAGAAUUCCGUGAAUCAUCGAAUCUUUGAACGCACAUUGCGCCCUUUGGUAUUCCGAAGGGCAUGCCUGUUCGAGCGUCAUUGCAACCCUCAAG